GCACCGCUGACGAGUUCCAAACAGGACGAAACAGCUGUCCAGUGA
rnacentral:hammerhead_ribozyme from 1 species